rnacentral:lncRNA from 1 species
AGACGCCAGUGCUCCUCCCGGGGCUGCCACCACGGCUCCGGCAGGCGGGCCGGGGACCGGCCGAACCUGAGUUGACGGUGGAGGGGCUCGGGUUAGCUAGAUGGGCGGUUGGUUAGAUGCGUAAGCGGUAGUAUGCGAGCUCAGUUCGUUGUUGCUGGUUGGCUGUCUAGUCGGCCGAUCCGUCUGCUCACCCGGCCUGCCCUUUCCUGCCUUUCGUCUGCAGCGGCCGCCAGCUCCUGCUCGGUGUCCAAAACAAAAUGGCCGCCACGUCCAGUGCUUGUCUGACCGGCUAAAAUGGCGUCUACGCAAUUACGUCAGGCGUCAGAUCCGCGCACGACUAGAGGGCGGGAAAGAUUUGAGCUACGCCUGCGCAGAGGUCAGAGGCGGAGCCUUAGGGCGAAGGCGGGGCUUUCCAUGCAGUGCCCCGCCCCUAGGGGCGUGGCCAAUGGUCCUGUUGUUGGGGCGUGCCGGGGACUUCACGUUCCAGUAGUGGUUGCGCUGCAACCUCUUGGGGGUAGUUAUUAAUGUGGGCCUUAGAGGGGAUUUGGGUCCCGAAUUCCCUCGCCCCUCCGUUCCCUAGCCAAGGUACACCGUCUAAAAAUCUUUACGCGGACUUGCCUCGUCUUCUUCCGGACAAUUGGGCCUGGGGAAUUUGCACUGGUUUUCCCCUCAUGGCCACUCGCCCAGUCUGAGAGUUGUGAAGUGCCGUAAAUGCUCCAGCCAAGGCCCAGGAGGCCAGUAUUAGGAGCAAAUUCCUCUCCCAUCCUGCACCGGCCAACACCACCGCCCGUCCAUGUUUUCCUCCUCACUUCCUCCCCUCCCCAACUUGGCCUAGAUACUGUUUACUCCUUCUUGGGGUGGGGCACCUUUGCGUCCUCGAUUGCGUUUCCAUGUCCUCCCCCCACACCUGCCAUCCGUGUUUAUUUUGUUGCAGACCUACAUAGGGAUUUCUCUUUUCUCUCUCUGAUUUGUUGUUGUUAUUUUGAGACGGGGUCUGGCUCUGUUGUCCAGGCUGGAGUCAGUGGCGCAAUGAAUCACGGAUCACUGCAGCCUUGACCUACUGGGCUCAGGUGAUCCUCUCACCUCAGCCUCCCGACUCCUAGGAUUAUGGGCAUAAGCUAUGUUUCCUGCUCAAUAAGGGAUUUUUCUCUCUUUCUUUUUUUUUUCUUUUUGCAGAUGGAGUCUCGCUGUGUCACCCAGACUGGAGUGCAGUGGUACCAUCUCGGCUCACUGCAACCUCCGCCUCCCAGGUUCAAGCGAUUCUCCUGCCUCAGCCUCCUGAGUAGCUGGAAUUACAGGCGCGUACCACCAUGCCCCGCUAAUUUUUGUAUUUUUAGUAGAGAUGGGGUUUCACCAGGCUGGUCUCCAACUCCUGACCUCAAGUGAUCUGCCCGCCUCUGUCUCCCAAAGUGCUGGGACUACAGUCGUGAGCCACUGUGCCCGGCCUCAAUAAGGGAUUUUUCUAAUGACUAUGUGCACAAUACAGUGUACAUAUGUUUGAGGAAUGAGAGAAUGACACAUCUGCAACCCUUCCUCUGCUCCACUGGCACGUCAAGACCCUUUCAUUUUCCUUCCUGGCACUUGGGCGUGUGCGUGUGUGUAUGUGUUUGUGUGUGUCUGUGUGUAAGUAAUGGCCCAGCAUCCUUACCCAUGUGAGGGUAAGGAUCGUGGUUAUUUUGCUUAAUGCUGGAGCCUCAGUUCCUACAGUGUUUACACAUAGUACCACUUAAGUAAAUGUUCGUUGAUUGAAAGAAGAUUCUUUCGGCCUAGCGCGGUGGCUCAUGCCUGUAAUCUCAGCACUUUGGGAGGCCGAGGCGGGGGGAUCACGAGGUCAGGAGAUCGAGACCAUCCUGGCCAACAUGGUGAAACCCCGUCUGUACUAAAAAUACAAAAAAUUAGCCGGGCGUGGUGGCAGGCGCCUGUAGUCCCAGCUGCUCGGGAGGCUGAGGCAGGUGAAUCGCUUGAACCUGGGAGGCGGAGGUUGCAGUGAGCCGAGAUCGUGCCACUGCCCUCCAGCCUGGGUGACAGAGCCAGACUGUGUCUCCAAAAAAAAAAAAAAAAAAAAAAGAUUAUUUCUUCCUCUGGUUUUAUAGUUGAGAAGCUGAUGUCUCCUCGACUUCCAACUGGAACCUUGAACCCCCACAUUUCUGGACCUUGAGCAUUCCUCAAGUAGGAAGAUGUAAUGCACCUUGACCUCUUUCUAAAUAAGACACUUCCCCAAAUAAGGGGAGUUGAGAGUGAACAGUCUUCACGUCUCCACCCACUUCCAGAUCCCAGAGGAGACAGACAUCGGAUGGCUGAAGAAAUUGUUACAGGCCACUGUGAGAGCAGCCACAAGCACCACAUACUCCUGGAAGUCCACCUCCCCGUCUCCAUUCUCGUCUAGCUCCUUCAUCACCUUGUCCACAGCAUCCACAUCCUUCUGGGCCUGUGGUGGGAGGAGAGGAAGAGGGAGGUGUAUAGGGAAGGGUACAGCACUGAGUCAGAGGCAAGGGGGUGGUUGAGGAGCAGGAGGCAAAGAUGAGCGAGAGGAACUGCAUUGAAUUAUGGGACUCUUCUAGGCCUCCUCAAAGGUCUUGAGGGCUUCUGUUGCCUACAGCAUAAGCUCUUUCACCUGGCAGAAUGAAUAAUAAUGACACCAGUUACCGUAUGUUCAGUGCCUAUAAUAAAGCAAGCACUACACUAGGAGCUUUA